rnacentral:rRNA from 1 species
UGGCGCACGGGUGCGUAACGCGUAACCAACCUACCCUUGACUGGGGGAUAGCCCGCCGAAAGGCGGAUUAAUACCGCAUAAAACAACAGAGUGGCAUCACUCAAUUGUUAAAGAUUUAUUGGUCAAGGAUGGGGUUGCGUGCCAUUAGCUAGUUGGGGGGGUAACGGGCCCACCAAGGCGACGAUGGCUAGGGGAGCUGAGAGGCUGGUCCCCCACACGGGCACUGAGAUACGGGCCCG